CCAGUGAAACACUGAGGAGAAGAGUGUAGUACAAAAAACCCUUAAUAAUUGAGCACUGCUUUUCUGGCAAUUAGUUGCUACAUCAUCAUUUUCUCUGCUGACUCCAGGACAAAGUUGUGACUCUUGAGAUCCUUAAAAAUCCCAGUUUCCUUGGAUGAGUCACAGGAGGAUUUAUCACAAAAAUCCACUGUAAAGCUGAGAGAAAAGUCUCAGGAAGCCACAUGCUACAUUUCUAGCAAGCAGAGGGCUUAUCUUUAAAAAAAAAACCAACCCACCAGCACACCCUCCCCCCUGGGAAAGAGCCCAAUUCAGUUCAAAGCUGUGCUUUCCAUCUGUGCAGGGCUUGAGAGGU